rnacentral:tRNA from 1 species
GCUAGUGUAGCUUAAUUGGUAGAGCAACUGAUUUGUAAUCAGUAGGUCAUAGGUUCAAAUCCUUUCACUAGCU